CACAUCUUUCCGACACAUAAAAUGAAAUCCUCUUUCCCAUUCACGCUUUCACACAUACACAUGUUGCUCUUGGUCUUGCCCUUGCCCGAUCCCCUUUCUCACUCCAAAAUUUCUGCUUCCGGUAGCUCCCAUCAGCUUGAUUCCUUGAUUCCCUGCCUUGAGCUUGCUUGUCCUCACCUGUAGCCACCCCCGCAGCUCGAUUCGCUUGUGCGGCCAUAGGGUGAACUUCGACGGUGGCUUGUUUGUCUCCUCGUACGCCUCCUCGGUCUCCUCCUAGGCUGGUAAUGGCGAUGGAGGGGUAGCAGGCCCAAGGUGUAGCUGCGCAAGGGAAGAGGUGAGAUCAUCAAGCUGCACGGUUUUGUUGCUGUCAAUAUCCGUGCAGGUGAUUUUGCCGUGGAUUUCUUCUCCCACAGCUGCUUUGAUCCAUCUUUAGUAUGAGGAUAGUGUAGUCGUUUUCUGCCCCAGCGCCGGCCAGACACAUCCUCCACAUCGGCAACAUUCUUCGAACUUUGAAGCGUGUUGCCCUACAGCAGAAAUAAGGAGGAGUUACAUGAACUGGGAACGAUUGGAUUGGACGUGGGGAGAGAAAAAGGAAAUGUUACCUCGCUGUUGGCGGGAAAGAGUAGUAAAGCUCCAACCUCAAUAUCGUCCUUGAUGAAGAGGUCGAAUUAUGGCCACUUACAGGGUAUGUGUAUGGUGUGUAUCUCAAGUCUCAACUCUCACAUGGUUGGUCUUCUAAUCUCCCUCUAGCCGGCUGACAGUGGGCAUGCACAACUCUAUUCACCCGACAUUGCUAGCGUGCAUGAAGGAUAGGCUUUGAGCCCAUCAAUCGUGUGUAACCUACUGAUCUGCUGAGUUGAGGUGCAUGGUAUAUGAUAAAAUGCCGAUCUGCUGAGUUGAGAUGCAUGAUGGAUAGCCACCGAGAUGUAGAUUAACCUUUUUUUUGAACAAACAUAGAUCAACUUGAUUUCACCGCUAUUGCUUUUCAAUCAUCAAGCACGCAGAUUGUAGCUAGGAGCAAGACCUUAUUAGAAUGAAGUAAUCAUCUGCUCCAGAGAGCCAGCGGUGCAUGGCUGCUCAAGGGACCAUGCCUUAGGCGCAGCCAGCCGUCGGCGACUUGACAACUGGGAUACGAUUUUCUUCUUUUCAUUUACGGACGGGAGGACGACCAAUCGGCCGACGGCAACUUGAUAAACUCAUGGAACGGGCACCCUUUUCAAUCACGUACGGGAGGACGGCCGCCGUCUGGCGGCGACUUGACAACAUGGAAUAGGGAUAUUUUUCUUUUCAAUCUAGGACGGGGAGAACAAUAUUCUAGGUCCUAAGUAUAUGUUUCCAUGGCAUAGGUGGGUAAUUUUGACCAAGUAAGACUUUGGAUGAUC
rnacentral:rRNA from 1 species